GUAGGUGGCAAGCGUUGUCCGGAAUUAUUGGGCGUAAAGCGCGCGCAGGCGGUCCUUUAAGUCUGAUUUGAAAGCCCACGGCUCAACCGUGGAGGGUCAUUGGAAACUGGGGGACUUGAGUACAGAAGAGGAAAGCGGAAUUCCAAGUGUAGCGGUGAAAUGCGGAGAGAUUUGGAGGAACACCAGUGGCGAAGGCGGCUUUCUGGUCUGUAACUGACGCUGAGGCGCGAAAGCGUGGGGAGCAAACAGGAUUAGAUACCCUGGUAGUCCACGCCGUAAACGAUGAGUGCUAAGUGUUAGGGGGUUUCCCGCCCCCCUUAGUGCUGCAGCUAACGCAUUAAGCACUCCGCCUGGGGGAGUACGGCCGCAAGGCUG
rnacentral:rRNA from 1 species